rnacentral:rRNA from 1 species
GAUGAACGCUGGCGGCGUGCCUAAUACAUGCAAGUCGAGCGGAGCGGGGGCGGGUGUGUAACACGUGGAGAACCCCCUAUAACACUGGGGUAACUUACGUGAAACCAGGCUAUACCCCAUAUUUCUAGUUGGAUCCCCGUUGCAGUAGCUAGUUGGUAAGGUAACGGCUUACCAAGGCAACGAUGCAUCGCCGACCUGAGAGGGUGAUCGGCCACACUGGAACUGAGACACGGGCCAGACUCCUACGGGAGGCAGCAGUAGGGAAUCUUCCGCAAUGGGCGAAAGCCUGACGGAGCAACGCCGCGUGAGUGAAGAAGGUUUUCGGAUCGUAAAACUCUGUUAUUAGGGAAGCGGUACCUAACCAGAAAGCCACGGCUAACUACGUGCCAGCAGCCGCGGUAAUAC